CCCAAAAGCAAGGUGCGAAGUUCUUGGAGGGAAGGAUGCCGGGGGUCUAUUUCGAAACAGCCUCUUUACCCCAGGGUAGGGGUAAGAUCUGCGUACAUAUUACCCUCCCCAGACCCCACUAAGUGGGAUUAUACUGGGUUGUUUUAAGACAAGAGGGGUUGCUCUUAUGGUAAGCAACCCCCACUUCCAACCGAGAGGUUGUGAGUUCGAGUCUCCCCAAG
rnacentral:lncRNA from 1 species